AGUUUUACCUGGCAGCGGAGAUACCAUGAUACUAAAGUGGUUUUCCCAGGGUAAGUCUUAUUCAUUGUUUCAUUGGAUAUGCUAAAACCUGUGAUUUCCCCAAAUGUGGCAAAAUUGACUGCAUAAUUUGUGGUAGUGAGAGACUGUGGUUUCACUUUCCAUUG
ensembl:snRNA U1 U1 spliceosomal RNA